GGCCCCAUCGUCUAGUCAGGUCUAGGACAUCAGGUUUUCAUCCUGAGAACAGGGGUUCGAAUCCCCUUGGGGUCACCA
rnacentral:tRNA from 2 species